rnacentral:lncRNA from 1 species
CGCAUUUAGAUUUCAGCUUCUAUCUGGUGACAGUGCCUUCGGCCUCUGAAUUUUGUACGGUGGUCCCCUACUCAACACCUGAAAUGUUCUUUUUAUUUUUGGCAUCCAAGUGCCAUGUGGUUUAAUUCGAGAUAAGCCUGUUUGCAAAUGUUCCAUUUUAAUUAGAGUAGACUCUUCAGAAAUGAAUAUGCUAAUGAAUUAUAUUGCCACUAGCACAAAUGAAAAUCAGAGCACCCUUCUGGCUUGAUGUAUGGCUUGGUUAUAUCCUGAUGGACACGACGGGACCGUGGAUACACCAGACCGCUCUUGAUGGUCAGUGGUGUCUUGCAGAAUCCUCAGCCCUCUGUGACGAGCUUGCUGGAGAUUGGAUCAGGCUGUGCUGUGUGUGUCAAGAUAGGGCAGGAGCACUAGAGAGACAGGGAGACAGGCGCUCUUCAUCAGAAUUGCGAAGGGCACACCAGAAGCCAGCCUGAUGCAAAAUGACACGGGCCAAAUGUGGUGUUUGAGUGUGAUGGUCCUCGAGGUUCCGGGUUCACACAGCCUCCAUGGAUGCCCCCAAACAAGGGAGAGACCAUGCUAACACAGGGACUGUGCAGACAGUGCCCCUCAGAAAGGGAACCUAGAGACACACUCCAGCGCCCCUGGGCACCCUGCGAUGGCCAUUGGCAGUGUCCUCACAGAUGUCCCGGCAGCCUCCCGGCAGUGACCAUGUGCACCUCGAGGGAGGAAGAACUGCAGGUCUCCUGGCCAGACACCUCAGACCGCCCGCCGAGCUGCUGCCCUGGAGCAGAGACUGAGGGAGAUGCCUCUCCCCACUAGACAUUUAGAGCAGUGACAACGCUAUGCCUAGGAUUCCCUGUAGAUCUCACACAUGCAUAUAUGUGCUCUUCAAGCAUAGCCCGUGUUUUCUUACCAUAACCAGUGGUACUAGCAGGCACAGUGGGAGCUCAAGGCAUCUGUGUUAUUCAAGACAAAUUUGAGACACUGGAACAAAGAUACUUGUGUGUGUUGGAUGGAGCGGAGAAGCUAAGCACUGUAGGAGGAGCUCCUGUGACCAGAAGGACUGCCGUGGUGGAUGUCAGGACAAUGAUUGAGGUUGAUGAAGUAUUAGCACUACUGCCUCUCCGUAUCUUAGUUGGUAUUUAAAAUAAUAAAUAAAGAGAGGAGGGAGGUGGCAGUCAGUGUUGUGGGGAAAUCAGGAGUGAAAUGGGGUGGUGACAAGAUCCUAAUCAGUCACAGGUUCGACCAUUUCAGCCUUGGGGCCAUUGCAUUUCCCAUGUGCUGGCCCUGCAUUUCCACCCUCCGUGCUGAGUCUGGCAGAGGACACUUGUCUGUGGGAAAGUGUAUGUUCUGAUUUGGAAAAGAGCUAGUUGAACACUAAGAAAAGCAGGCUUCUUUGUUUAUUCUCAGGACCUUUUUGUAACAGGGCUACAUUCUGCAAACUGCUCACAAAGGAAGACUAUGCGUUUUAACAAAUUACUUAGCCACUGAAUCCUCCCAAUUUGGGCCUGUUUUAUUAAUGUCAGAAGAAUCCCUGAGUAGAUUUGGGGGCCCUAGAUCACUAGGGUACUAAUGCUCUGGAACCUUCUGCUCUCCACCUCCCCUGCCCUAUUCCUCCUCUGCACCAUCCCAGCAAGUAGGUGUCUUUCCGCCUUGGGCCAAGUGACCUCCGCAGGAUGAGUAACUUCAUUUGUUGAGCGUGGAGGUCACCAAGCCCUUGGGUGGGGGAUGGCUUUAUAUACCUCUUCCUCAGUAAUGCAAAUGCAAGUUUUGGUGGUGGGGUUAGGCCCAUAUCAAAGGAUCUUAUACCAUGCAGUGUACGCAAUUUAAAUUGUAUUCUACAGAUAUAAAUAUUUUCUUUUUCUAUUGCCGUGACACUAUGUGUGAUGGUAAUAUUUCUGAGAGUUUCAGAUUUUUGCACAUAUGAUUUUAUGCAUUAUCAAAAGUUACUGCUGCCUUGAAUGAAAAUGUUCUGUGAAAUUUUUUGCAAAAGCUUUACUAGGUUUUUUUAAUUGUGAAAUUUUGUAAAGGCAGGAAAUGAUUAAAAUGAGCAUGCUAAAUAUAUUUUUCAAAAAGCAAUAAUUUUACAUGUACAGAAAUUAUCCUAACCUUUAAUACUGGUGAGAGCGACAGUUUACUUAAUACAGUGAUGGAUUAGUGCAGUUUUUGUAGAAAAUGGGCUUCUGAUACAAAGACUUGUUUAAACACACACCAACACACAAACCCUGAAGUGUGGUUUUCCUGUUCUAAUGAUUUGUUGGAUUAUUAUAUUAUUAUUAUUAUUUUAUUGUUAUUGUUAGUUAAUGUUUGUUUUGAAUUCUACUUGUUACUGAGUUUAAAUUACUUGACAGUUCAGGUGACUGCGACACUUGCAAACAAUGCAAUGUAACUGGCUAGCUUAUAUAUAUAUAUAUAUAUAUAUAUAUAUUAUUUUUUUUACUUAUUUUUCCUGAUAUUCUUACACCGGAUAUGUAUGAGAAUGAGCUAUUGUGUUGGUGUGCUUGGGAAUGUCUGCACAGAUACUGUUAAGCAACUGUCAUGGAUUGUUCUGUGAGGUUAUUUGAGCAAAGUUAUAGAGACACAUUCCUCUGUCCACCUGAGAAAUCAGAACACCCUUCUGUUGAUUUAUGUUUGAUCAUUUUGAUACUUUCCCCAAAGUGAUCAUUUCUGCAUUUUCUGGCUUUUGUUUCCUUGGCUGAAAGUAAACGGUGACAUUUAGGAAUGUGAAGGGACUAGUGAUUCAGUCCUGUCUUUUUUCUCUGUGUUUUAGUUAUUAAAAGAAAUUCUGUACCCAAAGUGACACAAAGGUGUCGUCUACAUUUUUACUGUUUCAGAAGCUGCACGGAAAAGUGCAAUUGGCAUUUAGAGCUGGAAGUGUCUUUUUUCCUCAAAUUUCCUUCCCAGUUGGUCUGGUGGGGAGAGAGGCGCGUGCUGGGCUGCAGCCACAGAGUGCCGUCUGCAUCGGCUUCCAGGAGAGCAGCUGUGAGGAUGGCUGGCUUACAUGGUGAUGUGCCUGCCUCUCAGGGUGCAGAAUGAGGUUUUCAGAGGCGCACAGCCAGGAGGGGCCGGGGAUCGAGACUUCGAGCCCUGCUUCGCGCCGGACUGGAUGGGUGGCCCCCUUCUUCCACUGAGGAUCAGUAUUGUAUUGGUUUGUUAAUUUGUUUGUGUCAGUUCAACCAUAGUAUUUAAUAUGAUUUGUGUUUUCUUAUUUAUUUAGCCAAUAUGUUUUGAUUUGCUUUUUUUUUUCAAAUGAUAAUUUCUGCAUGAUACACUUCUGUAAGUCGCCUUCUGACUGUUACAGACUUUCUACUACCUCUACCAACCUGCUGUCUCCUUGUUUCCUAACAGGAUUUUUACAGUGUUGCGUCUAAUGUAAUUUAGACAAUAAAGGGUUUGGUUGUCUACACUGCAGUGCUCCUUGUGUCUCCCCUGCCCUUCACCUUGCAGUCUCGCAGCAUCCUGGCUCGGCUCGGCUCGGCUCGGCUCGGCUCGGCUCGGCUCGGCUCGGCUCGGCCGGCUCGGCUCGGCUCGGCUCGGCUCGGCUCCUGCCUGGUUUAGCUUGGCCCCUUGCCUUCUCACUGUCACCUUUCUCCCUCCCCACUCAUAUCUCUUCUCAUUUUUGAAUUUAAAUAACACACAAAUAAUGAGCUUCUUAAAAUCUUUCAGGUUAAUUACUUGUAGUCCUUAAUUCAAAGAAUGAACAUUUAAAUUCUCCAAAAAAGCAGAUGUUCAUUGUCUUCUCUGGGAAAUCACCCCCUGUACCUGUACACGUAUUUGCCUGGCUCCUAAAAGUCUCACUGCAAUCUUAGACUGAUGCGUUGCACCUGUGUUGGUACAAUGCAAAUUUCAAGCCAUGUGGAUUUUGCCUUUUUGCUUCUGAAAGUAUCAAGUGUUUUAAGAGGUUUCCCCAGUAUUUAUUUAUUUUUUAAAUCAAGAAAGACACUGGUUUUCUGAAAACAAGGAAAUCCAAUUGGGAGCUACAUGCAGUCACUCCGUAAGUUAAAGGAACAUGAUUUUGUGAUAGGCUGUCAGGAUGCAUCUUCUGACUUGGCUGCUGUGCACCGUGGCUAGGAACUGCUCCAGCAUCUCUGUAAAGCCCUAGCACACAUAGGUCUAACAGCACUACACUCCCUUAGCACACAGAGCUGGGUGCAGCAGUGGGGCAAGUUCCACCUCACUUGGUGGUGGCUCUAUUGCUUCCCGUUCUUUCAACCCAGGAGAGCAAGUACAGUUUACGGGGCAAUGGGGGUGUCUUCCAGAUCACAGAAAGUGGUCCGCAUGGAAGACCACUCAUGCUGCAUGGAAGACAGCACCUCCUGGACUCCCGUGGCCAGAGACUCUCCUUGCAUUGCUUCUUUAGAACAAGACCACCUAUCCCUGAACAAGUCACAAGGUUCAAACCCUGUUGUAGACAGAAGAAGGAUGUUCUGUGUUCAUAAGCUUGACUCUACUUUCACAAUGUCUGAAGUAACAUUUGUUGUUUUACUGCUUUUAACUUUGGUGACUUCUAAUUGCAGAACAUUUUAUUCACUAAGGAGACAACAAUAACAACAAAAAUCCCAGGUGAGGACUUCCAGCAGUGACCAGGUCUUUGUUUGCCAUGGUUCAUGCAAACGCCAGAGCCCUAGGACAUGCCUGUGUGGAGUGACCCCCUGGUCUCCCUGUAAGAGAAAUGUCCAUUCUUUAUCAACUUUGCUAAUAUAUACUUUAAGACAGUAAAAUGCAAAAGACCAUAAAAUUUGUAUUUCUUUUAUAAAAAUACAAUUUAUAACAUUUUGUACUCUUUAUAUUAGAAUUUGUAAUAGAUUGAUGUAUUUAACUCUAUUUCUGAAAAAUAAUUCAAUGUUUCAGUUGUG